UAGGGAAUCUUCGGCAAUGGACGAAAGUCUGACCGAGCAACGCCGCGUGAGUGAAGAAGGUUUUCGGAUCGUAAAACUCUGUUGUUAGAGAAGAACAAGGACGUUAGUAACUGAACGUCCCCUGACGGUAUCUAACCAGAAAGCCACGGCUAACUACGUGCCAGCAGCCGCGGUAAUACGUAGGUGGCAAGCGUUGUCCGGAUUUAUUGAGCGUAAAGCGAGCGCAGGCGGUUUCUUAAGUCUGAUGUGAAAGCCCCCGGCUCAACCGGGGAGGGUCAUUGGAAACUGGGAGACUUGAGUGCAGAAGAGGAGAGUGGAAUUCCAUGUGUAGCGGUGAAAUGCGUAGCUAUAUGGAGGAACACCAGUGGCGAAGGCGGCUCUCUGGUCUGUAACUGACGCUGAGGCUCGAAAGAGUGGGGAGCAAACAGG
rnacentral:rRNA from 1 species